rnacentral:lncRNA from 1 species
CGCUUGAACCCGGGAGGCGGAGGUUCAGUGAGCCGAGAUCGUGCCAUUGUACUCCAGCCUGGGCUACAAGAGCGAAACUCCGUCUCAAAAAAAAAAAAAGAAAGAAAGAAAGAAAGAAAGAAAGAAAGAAAGAUAAGUAUUCUCUAAGUCCUUGAAAACUGGCUCUGUGUGUUGGGGCACUCUUUCAACUAGCCAGGCUGUAGUCUUCACUUCUAGCUUGCAAGGGGCCUGAAAGCUAGUGAGAUCUGAGACCUUAAGCUCUUCUCAGGCAUUUUCUGCAUAAUUGUCCAGCCCUGCCCAUGUGCAUGGCUUUCUUAUUUCUCUAGUGUAUACAAGAACAUUUUAAAGUUCUUAUUCCCCCAAGUAUUUCCUUUCAUAGCCUCUUCCUUCCCAUGCUUUUCCAUCUGCUUAUUGUUUAUUUUAACUGUUGUCCCUUGCCUCAGAUUCUUAUAGCCAGUACUUGUGUCUUUAAGUUUUUUCAACACAUGCCCCUCAGGAGUUGUUCCAAACUUGGAAACACUCCAAGUGAGGCAAAACAAAAAGCAAGCUCUUACACCAAUCCUUUAGGGAGCCAAAAGACAGAUCAAACUGGAAUGCAACAAUUCUUUGAGAAUAAGUUCUGUAUUAUACCUAUGCACGAGGGUAGGAGCUAUACUGAAGGCACUGUGGAGGCUGGGGGAUGGUAGACAGGUAAUUUAAAAUGCCGCAGCUCUCUUGCUCUCUCACCACAAAGCAGUCACUUAUUUCUUCACCAAGGCUUCCCUGGGUGUUGUAAGUUUUUGACAAGCUCUAGAGUUCUGUAAAAGUGGAUUCUGACACUUCUUUCUUUCUUUCUUUCUUUUUUUGAGACGGAGUCUCGCUCUGUCGCCCAGGCUGGAGUGCAGUGGAGCGAUCUCGGCUCACUGCAAGCUCCGCCUCCCAGGUUCACGCCAUUCUCCUGUCUCAGCCUCCCGAGUACCUGGGAGUACAG